ACAGAUAAAAGAAUAUAAAGUAUUAUGAGAUAUUUGACAUAUAAAUAUAGACAUGUAUUACAAUUACGACAUGACACAACUAGUACUUAAAAAGGAUGCGUGCUUCCUUCCUAGCCAAUAUCUCAAAGUGCCAGUUAAUUAUACAGGAGGGUUGGCUGAAAGUACUACUUGAUAGGAAACAAGAAUUUGGUCCAAGCCAGAGGUGUACCAAGACGUAAAGACCAAAGACUAUGUUUAAUCAAAUUUUCACAUUAAGAUGAAGAAAAAGUAGUUAAAAGUUACUUUUGUGAUCCUUGUUUUUUAAUUGUGUGAAUGCGAAUCCAAACUUCCUAUAAAAGCAUCUCAACAAGUAAUCUGAAGAAAGAAAAAAAAUAACAAACAACAAUAAUAACAACCAACCAACCCCAAGAUAGAAAUGUAAAGACCUUAAUUUCCAGCAAGAACAUUUGGCUCCGGUCCAGAAUUCUCAUGUGACCACAAGAAGGGUGCAGAACCGAAGAGAGUCCCACUUCCAAUACAGACCAAUAGAGCUAGCUAGCUACAAUAGCAACGAAUCGGACCCCACCCCCGCCAAAUAAACCACGUUAAAGUCAAUCUGGUUCGAUGCAGCAAAUGAAAAGACUAUUACAACUGGUCUUGGUGGGUGCAACUGUCCGUGAUCAUUCAUAACUGUGAUCUUGUCCUCUCUGCUUGUCAUCUACCAAGAACCGACCUCCGCCUGAGAAGAUAUAGCUCAAGCUUUGCCACUUAUAUAUAUAUAUAUAUAUAUAUAUAUUAUCAACAAAUGUUAGGUUGUUAGAAAUAGGACUUGAACUCGUGAUCUGUUUUCUAACAGAUUCCCUCAUUUUUCAAAGUACUACAAUAUAUGUAUGUCAUGACUCAUGACUGGGCCCGUUGCAGCUAGCUCCUACAUUAUUUGCUGACUGCAGUAUAGGUCUAGUGAUCCCUAAUUCAACUAGUCUGUUUCCCAAGUUUCAAAUUUUACAUGUAAUUCGAUGGUUUCAUAUCUCAAUACCAUUUGUUUUUAUUAACUUUCAACUAGAUUUUUGGGGCAAUUAUCCAGUAUCCCCUAGCAAAAAAAUCAGAGACAAAUCACUCGAGGAUAUUGAGAUUCUGUUAGAAAACAGAAUAGGUUGUAGGAUUGAACAUAAAUAGCUGAAGGACCCAACAGAAAUGUGGUAGAACGAAACUAGCAACCACACACAUACAAAGAUGGAGCAAAAACUGAUUUGUUGUAUUUCAGUUAUGCAUCAUAUUUAAAGUGUUACAAUGAGAGUUUAAAUACAAAAGCUAUAAAAGUUUCCUAGUGGGCAGAGCAGAAAGCAAUCAAAUGGCUACCAAGGCUACAAGCAAUUUGAUUGUAUCAUGUCUUGCCAUUAGAGCAAAUUUGUAAAAAAAAAUCAACACCAUGUUGCUAAAAUUAACCUUUUACCACCAAUCUAACUUUUUUUUCCCACAAAACCAUCAAAAUUAAGUUUUGUUAUAUAAACUCACAGAACACUAAUUAUUACCUUUUGAUUAUCACUGUUUACCAAUUGCCAAAUGUUUGGUUUUCUCUAUCAUAUUGAUAUUCUCUUGUAUGAAACUUCUCCAUCAUUCUAUUUCAGCAACUUCAACAUUCAUUCAGUUGUAGCUAAAUUGAAUCUAGCAUAGAUGUCAUUUAAGGUUUUGGUACCUUUCAUUAGAAUAAUGUCACUAUCAUACUUUUCUCCAUCUCAGUAGUUUUGCUCUUACAAAUUGUCUUCUCUAGGCAGUCCCUUUCUUAAGCCUUCAACUUAACAUUUCUCCCAAUUCUGUUUUGAUAGCUCACCAAAUUUCACAUAUUUGCUGACAAGGAUUCUUUUAGUGUCUAAUUCGUGGUCAUAAGAAAACUUGCAAAGCAAACAACCUUGAUCAUCUCUCAAGGAUCUCUGAUUUUUACUGGACAAAAGGUUGAUUUAAGAAUAAAAACAUAUUGCAAGUAGAAAUAGAAAUCAAUUCAAUAAAAAUGACCAAUCCAUUUGUUCAACAUCCAAAUUCUUGAUUCAAUUCUAUUUUGACCUUGAAUUUAACCAAUUAAGCAUCAAUAAUUUCAAUAGAAUACCCACUGAAUUAAGCAACCAUAAUUUAAUUAAUUUAGGUUUGACAGUCAAGUGCCUUCUAAGUCACCAGACCAAUUUCUAAAUUGAUUAUUCUUUUAUCAAGUAAAUGAUUAAGCAUCAAAGACCCUAUCAAUCUCAAUUUGAAUAUGAAAAAUCAUGCAUCACAGUCCCUGAUCAAGAAUACAAACCCAAAUUUAGAUGAUGAUGCAUCAACCCAUAAGAAUUCACAAUCAAGAUUUAAAGAAAAUGAGAAAUAUCGAUAGAGAGAUGAUAUAAAAUAAGAAUUGAAAAGAAGUUUAAAAUCAAACCUCAAAGAAAACGAAAACAACAAAAGGGUAAUAAAGUAAGAGAAAGCCGAGAGUGAUGAAAACCCUAGUGAGAAAUAAAGCACAAAUCAAACUGUAAAGGAUCUCUUAUCAAAUGUCCUAAAAAUAGGUUUAAAUAGAGGCUAGCAAGGAUAAAUUAAGACCUUAGUUUGAAAUUGGAGCUCAUUAGUGUUUUAGUAAGAGCUCAAAUACAAAAGCUAUAAAAUCCCCUUAAGUAGAGCAAAAAGCAAUUAGACUAAUGUGCAAAAUUAAACAUCAUACCAGACCAUUGUUAAUGGAAAACUUCAACUAGUUGUGAGACUCUAAGUGUCAUUUGAAACCUGUUAAAUUAAUUGUCAAGGGAGAAAAUUCAGAAGUUUCAUCUCAAGUACGGGGAGCUGUGGCUUUUUGAUUGUUCAAGAGCCAGUUAUGUAUAGUAGACAGAAAGAUCUGGUUUCUGCUCUCCGUCAAAAUUAAGUUGACUUUCAAAUUCAAGUAGCUGGCUUUCUUUUCUUUGUCAGUGUCAACAAAGACCAAAAUAUCAGUC
rnacentral:lncRNA from 1 species